CAAAGUCAUUGCCCUCCAUGAACUAACAAUCUACAGGGAGCUGUAAAACAAGUACAUGUGCAAUUCCCGGCCUGGGUUUGAAUCCCAGCACUUCUAGCUGCACAACUUUACCCAAGAGGCUUAUUCUUUCUGAGCCUCUGGCUCUGCAUCUGUAAAAUGGACUUUACAUUCAGUUUCUUUAUCUGGCAAUAAGGAAAAAUCCAAAUGGAUUUCUCACUUUUUGACCAGAUGUUUCAUUGUCACACAGCCCGUGUGACAGCACUGGCCCCUAGUACAGGCAGAGUUGAAAAGUGAUGUGAUGGGUCAUGGUUGCCCCUCUACUCAGAGAAAACUCCUUCUUGACCUCAUCACGGUCGCUGAAAGUACUAAGAAUUAUAUCUGAAAUCAAGCACUGGUAGCAGAACACAAAUAUGUUACCAAAUUAGUUGGAAGAGGUUAGGAGCUUGUAAGGAAGACCAUAGCAGUUGAAAACAAAGCAAGGCACAUUUCCAUUGUACGUCCCAGGAGUAGUUUGAAUGGUUUAAGGACCAGCUAUGUGUGUGCUUGCAUAAGCGUAUGUGCCCUGGGUAUUCUGCAGUGUGUGGGGAGCUGGCAGUGUGAUGAAGGGGACAGGAUUCUAGAUGAGCUACUCCACUCUGAAGACCCUAUGACUGUAUCCACUGGCAAGAAGUUUGAAUAAAGGCCCUUUUACUCUUUCAUGCCAGCUCUUGAAAGAGGCCUAACCAAGGCUCUAAAGAAAUUGGAUGACUACCUGAACACCCCUCUACCAGAGGAGAUUGACGCCAACACUUGUGGGGAAGACAAGGGGUCCCGGCGCAAGUUCCUGGAUGGGGAUGAGCUGACCCUGGCUGACUGCAAUCUGUUGCCCAAGCUCCAUGUGGUCAAGGAACAAGUACCACUGAAAGGGAUGAUAUAAUUCCAGCUCAGUCACACUGUGUCAGAGUGAUACAAUGCAAAGAUCAGGAGACCCGAGUUCCGGUCCUGUAUUUGCUGCCAACUAGCAGCAUGAGCUGAGGCACAUCAUUUAAUCUUUUUGGAAUUCAUUUUUCUCAUGCCUAGAAGAACAGAAGUGGAUUGUAUUCCUUCUUGCCUUCUUUUCCUUUCUUCUUUCCCUCCUUCUUUCCUUUUCUCUUGCUCAAACAUGUAUUCACUACCACUCAAAAACCAUUUGUUGAACAAAGCAAACAAAUGAAUCUCCCAAGCCUUGGGCUUCAUCCUGUGAUUUCCUCAAUUCCCACCUGCCUUAAAUUACUCAGUGAAGCCCUGUCCUUGGAGAAAAUUCAGUGGGUGGUUAACCCAGAGAAGCUGGAGAUCAAAAAGAAGAUGGCCAAUGAAAGAACAAAGGCCAGCCCUUGGCCCCUAUCUCUUUGGAUUUCUGCUGAUCCAGCUUAUCAGAUCCCAGAAACCUGGCAAACCUCUAAAGUUCACAAAGAGCGAAGGGGAAGCCAAGUCAGGCCUCCAGUUUGGCUUCGGAUGCCAAAACUUAAUCUGGGCUGUGGGAGCUAACUGUUUUCAUAUGAAAGAGCAAAUUCAGAACAUGAGCAUGGAAGUCCCUGCGAACGUCAGAUCUCCGUGUGCAUCCUUACCCCCUUGCUGCUUUCAUGCUCACUCUCCUCUUGCGUGGCUCGCUUUCAGGUUUAUCUCCAUCCCUGGAAGCAGAGUUGCUCUGGCCCAGGCUCUCCAUGAGAGUUUGGCUUGAACAUUCAUUGUCUGGCCCCCUCCUAGUUCUCAUCUCCCAAAGUCAAGCCAAUGUGUGAAGAAAUGACCAGCUCAGCAGCCAAGGCCCAGGGUGCACAGGUCUUCGUUGGGAGAGGCAUCUGCAGGCCUUUCCUUGCUCACUGGGAUCCUUGCCUAGCAUAGUGACGAUGUUCAGCCCUGGAGACAAACAAGAAGGGGAACACCAACAUCAAUAGAAGUAUAUAUUUACAAAUUGCAUUUCUGCUGUAUUGAAACUAACAUUCUGCCCUUUAAAAUCCUGAAAAUAAAAUUUCAGUAUGAAAUGA
rnacentral:lncRNA from 1 species